ACGGGUGCGGAACGCGUAUGGAACCUGCCCCUGUCAGGGGAAUAGCCCAGGGAAACUUGGAUUAAUGCCCCAUGGUACCGCGAUAUCGCAUGAUAUUGCGGUUAAAGAUUUAUCGGACAGGGAUGGCCAUGCGUACCAUUAGUUAGUUGGUGGGGUAACGGCCCACCAAGGCAGCGAUGGUUAGGGGCCCUGAGAGGGGGAUCCCCCACACUGGUACUGAGACACGGACCAGACUCCUACGGGAGGCAGCAGUGAGGAAUAUUGGACAAUGGGCGGGAGCCUGAUCCAGCCAUGCCGCGUGCAGGAUGACGGCCCUAUGGGUUGUAAACUGCUUUUAUACAGGAAGAAAUGCGCCCACGUGUGGGCGUCUGACGGUACCGUAAGAAUAAGGACCGGCUAACUCCGUGCCAGCAGCCGCGGUAAUACGGAGGGUCCGAGCGUUAUCCGGAAUCAUUGGGUUUAAAGGGUCCGUAGGCGGGCCUGUAAGUCAGAGGGUGAAAGUUUGUGGCUCAACCAUAAAAUUGCCUUUGAUACUGCAGGUCUUUGAGUCAUGGUGGGGUCGCCGGAACAUGUGGUGUA
rnacentral:rRNA from 1 species